UAUUUGAGAAAAAGGUACUUUAUUAUUUUUCUAGAAAGAUGAUAUUUUAUUUUAAUAGUUUUACAUGAAAUUCUAUAUAUUCCAAUAUUAUAUUUUUCUAAGAUAAGAAAAUUGUAAAAUAUGAUAGUCUACCCUACAAAGUAUAAGCUUUUUUGUUACCCCCACCAUACAUUCUCUUUAUUUAAAGGGUACGCUAUUAUAUUACAAUAGUAUUAUUAUAUUAAGGUUGUAUAAUUGAUAUUUUUGUAAAGAAAACCAUAUAUAUUAUUUUUGUUAAUGGAAGGAUCCAUUUAAGUUCUGAAAAUUAUGCAUGUAUAGAUUAAGAAGGACUGUAUAAGUGUAAUAUAUGUGAUCUGAGUAGACUUUAAAAUUCAAAGUAUAUACAGUGCUAAAUCCUGAAAACAUAGCUAUAAUCAUAGAGAGAGAGAUCGAGAUCAGAGAGGAGUGCCAUACAGCAGCCUGAAAGAGUAUUUGAUUAUCGUGAAAUAUCUGAGCUCGAGGCUGGCACAUGGCACAUGGCUCUUGAAUAACAUCCGAUGUGUCUCUCUUGUUUAUAAGAAUUUAAAACCCAUUCAAAGAUUGUGAUUUAUGCGUCCCUGGGGCUGUGAACCAGAAUGAAAGAGCCCAGGACAUUGAUGAAGACAAGGAAAGAAGACACCUGAGAAGAACCAGAAGAAUAAAAGUGACAGGUUGGAAUACAACCAUUUGGGACAUUUAUUUUUGUAGAUGAAAGUUUAUUUUACUGUAGAAAUGUAAUGAUCUUCAACUCAAUAUAUCAACAACAAAUGUAAACUUA